UCCGUAGGCGGGCGAUUAAGUCAGAGGUGAAAUCCCACAGCUUAACUGUGGAACUGCCUUUGAUAUUGGUCGUCUUGAGUUACAGUGAAGUAGAUAGAAUAUGUAGUGUAGCGGUGAAAUGCAUAGAUAUUACAUAGAAUACCGAUUGCGAAGGCAGUCUACUAACUGUAUACUGACGCUAAUGGACGAAAGCGUGGGGAGCGAACAGGAUUAGAUACCCUGGUAGUCC
rnacentral:rRNA from 1 species